UUUCCGUAGGUGAACCUGCGGAAGGAUCAUUAAUGAGUUGUCAUGGGGUUCGAUGCUGGCAGCCAAUCUUGGAUGCAUGUGCUUGCCCUAACAAUCAUCUUCCAAACACCUGUGCACAUUUUUGAGGGAGUCUUGAGUUGGUUGCCGCUCUUGGGUGAUUUUCUCACAUUCCCUUAAAUCAUUAUACGCUAUUAACAAUGUUGAACGUGCUCUGUGCCGCAAGGCUAUUAAUAUAAUACAACUUUUAACAACGGAUCUCUUGGCUCUC
rnacentral:misc_RNA from 1 species